AGGGAAUAGAUACCCGGGUAGUCCACGCCGUAAACGUUGUGCGCUAGGUGUAGGAGGUAUCGACCCCUCCUGUGCCGGAGCUAAACGCAUUAAGCGCACCGCCUGGGGAGUACGCCCGCAAGGGUGAAACUCAAAGGAAUUGACGGGGGCCCGCACAAGCGGUGGAGCAUGUGGUUUAAUUCGAGGCAACGCGAAGAACCUUACCCAGGCUUGACAUCCCGCGCUACCCUGUGAAAGCAGGGGUUCUCCUUCGGGGGACGCGGAGACAGGUGCUGCACGGCUGUCGUCAGCUCGUGUCGUGAGAUGUUGGGUUAAGUCCCGCAACGAGCGCAACCCCUGUUCCCAGUUACCAGCGGUUCGGCCGGGCACUCUGGGAAGACUGCCGGUGAUAAGCCGGAGGAAGGUGGGGAUGACGUCAAGUCAUCACGGCCCUUACGCCUGGGGCGACACACGUGCUACAAUGGCCGGUACAAAGGGUUGCGAUACCGCGAGGUGGAGCCAAUCCCAAAAAGCCGGUCUCAGUUCGGAUUGGAGUCUGCAACUCGACUCCAUGAAGUCGGAA
rnacentral:rRNA from 1 species